AUUGAAUCUGGACUGAAAGGUUGUGUAAGCAUGUUUUACAUCAUUACUCGGGGAUGGGGCUAUGGCCGAUCAGGCAGUUGGCGGGGUAAUAGCCCACCAAACCUUUGACCGGUACGGGCUUUGAGAGAAGGAGCCCGGAGAUGGACACUGAGAUAAGGGUCCAGGCCCUAUGGGGCGCAGCAGGCGCGAAACCUUCACAAUGAGCGAAAGCUUGAUGAGGCUAUUUCAAGUGCCAUCCGCUAAGGAUGGCUUUUCCUAAGUCUAAAUCGCUUGGGGAAUAAGGGGAGGGCAAGCCUGGUGUCAGCCGCCGCGGUAAUACCAGCUCCCCGAGUGGUCGGGACGGUUAUUUGGCCUAAAGCAUCCGUAGCCGGUCCUGUUAGUCUUCCGUUAAAUCUAACGGCCCAACCGUUAGGCCGCGGAAGAUACCGCAGGACUAGGGGACGGGAGAGGUGGACGGUACUCCAGGGGUAGGGGUAAAAUCCUCUGAUCCUUGGAAGACCACCAGCGGCGAAGGCGGUUCACCAGAACGUGCCCGACGGUGAGGGAUGAAAGCUGGGGGAGCGAACCGGAUUAGAUACCCGGGUAGUCCCAGCCGUAAACGAUGCGAGCUAGGUGACAGAAUGGCCUAAGGACCAUUCUGCUGCCGCAGGGAAGCCGUUA
rnacentral:rRNA from 1 species